CUGCAAGUUUGUACUUUGUGUUCCUUUCAAAGUUAAAGACUAGUACCAUUAGUACUGAAAGUAAAGAUUAGUGCUUUCAAACCUCUUGACAGAGGACCAUGGUCUUUAAUGAAGUUUUCUUUUUCCUUUGUUAAAUUCUAGCUUCACAGUCCUAUUGUUCAAAAAAUGGUUAACCAAAGAAAGCAGUUGUUAUGCUGCUUCUUGGGACGCUUUCAAGGAAGUAGAUGGAGCAGGUUUUAUUUUCCAAAACUGUGAACUUAAAAUUGACGCUUUGACUGAAUUUGUGGGGGGCGCUGGAUAAACCAGACCACGGUCCUUUGAGGAAGAAUAUAAAAGGGAGAAAUCACUCAGCUUUUAACCAUUUUUGGAUCUCUUAAAACAAUCUAUAAUCAUGGAGAUAUUUAGCCCAAUUCAUUAUUGCAAAUUUUUGAAGAACUGGAUAAUUGCAAAUAUUUAUCUGAUGAACAUAGUAACCAGGUGGAAUUGAAGGUAAUCAAAUAAUUAACAAAAAUAUGCCGAUUGCUUCAGGAAACUUUAAAUGGUCUGAAGAGUUGAAGGGACGAAUACAGACUUUUUGGUCUUGCUUCUCAGGUCUGUCUCACCGGUAAGUGUUCAUAGACGCUGAUUUAGCAGGAAGUUAACAGUCUUUAAAUAAGGUUUCGCUAAUCACUGAUGAACAAGUGUGACCUGUGUAAUAUAGUCUGUCUUUCAUUCAUGUGAA
rnacentral:lncRNA from 1 species